rnacentral:rRNA from 1 species
CCUACGGGAGGCAGCAGCGAGGAAUCUUGGGCAAUGGGCGAAAGCCUGACCCAGCGACGCCGCGUGGGGGAAGAAGGCCUUCGGGUUGUAAACCCCUUUUGCCGGGGAAGAAGAUCUGACGGUACCCGGCGAAUAAGCCACGGCUAACUACGUGCCAGCAGCCGCGGUAAUACGUAGGUGGCAAGCGUUGUUCGGAUUUACUGGGCGUAAAGAGCGUGUAGGCGGCCCGUUGGGUCCGCUGUGAAAUCUCCUGGCUUAACGGGGAGGGGUUCAGCGGAUACCGGCGGGCUAGAGGGGGGCAGAGGAAGGUGGAAUUCCCGGUGUAGGGGUGAAAUGCGUAGAUAUCGGGAGGAACACCAGUGGCGAAGGCGGCCUUCUGGGCCUACCCUGACGCUGA